rnacentral:rRNA from 1 species
AGUGAACGCUGGCGGCAGGCCUAACACAUGCAAGUCGAGCGGCAGCGCGGGGGCAACCCUGGCGGCGAGCGGCGGACGGGUGAGGAAUUCGUCGGAAUCUGCCUUUUUGUGGGGGAUAACGUAGGGAAACUUACGCUAAUAUCGCAUACGUCCUACGGGAGAAAGUGGGGGACCGCAAGGCCUCACGCAGAAAGAUGAGCCGACGACCGAUUAGCUAGUUGGUGGGGUAAAGGCCCACCAAGGCGACGAUCGGUAGCUGGUCUGAGAGGAUGAUCAGCCACACUGGGACUGAGACACGGCCCAGACUCCUACGGGAGGCAGCAGUGGGGAAUAUUGGACAAUGGGCGCAAGCCUGAUCCAGCCAUGCCGCGUGUGUGAAGAAGGCCUUCGGGUUGUAAAGCACUUUUGUCCGGAAAGAAAUCCCUGGAGCUAAUACCUUCGGGGGAUGACGGUACCGGAAGAAUAAGCACCGGCUAACUUCGUG